rnacentral:lncRNA from 1 species
CACCUUUGUUUUAUGCAAAACAGAAGAAAUUUUGCCUAAGGCAACAAUCUAUGACAUAAAUGCAAAAUUGCUCAGAAAUACAAGGCUGCAGCCAAAGAAAAUUAAUGUUUCCAGGAUGGUUAUGCCUGUAUGGAUUAUGUCCAAAAGCCUACCAGGACCAAGGAGUGCUGUGAGUGGUAACCUGCAGCCAUCAGGGUUGCUGCUGCUUGUAGGGCACUUGACAGCCCAUGGGGAAGCUGGAGGAGUCAGGCAGGCAUGCAGUUUGACCCACAUCAGCCCCUCCUGCAGUGAUGGAUUCUGUGUCUUUGUCACUGUCUAUGAGGUAUCUUUUCAGGUGACCAGCUACUCAAACCUCAGCAAGGAACAAAGAGAAAGAUCUCAGCAGCUGGUAAUGCUCUUUAUCCCAUCCCUCAGUUAUAAAUUUUGGUUUCUGCAAGCUUUACACAGCACAUGCCAAAUUAGCACAAAGCAGAUUAUUUCAGUCCUUGUCACCUGAGUUGUCACACUGCACACCACGGGAAUAUUUUGUUGAAAACGAGAAAGAAGGUACCUAAGCCCAGGAGGGUCAGGAGAAAGCUAUUUCUUGGGAACGCCUGGAGGCUGAGAGCAUCGGGACCAUUCAUGACUGCCCAGGUAAUUAGCGGAGAGCUGUUUAGUUAUGAGCAAAGGAAGAAAGGGUGACAUUAAAAGGAGUCACCGGCACUCUUGGAGAGUUUCUGCCUUGUUUUGUUACAAUAGCAGGCCCCGCAGCUCUCCGCAGAGGCACAGAGCAGCUCUCCGCAGAGACAGCCGGCUCCGAGGGACGCAGAGCGGGGCAGCCGAGCGGCUCCGGCCGCGCCUCCCGGCACCGCCGCCUCCAUUUCCUCAGGCGUGUCUGGAAGGAACCCGCACUGCCUCGAGGCACGGCUGAACCGCGGCUGAGAAGGUCUGGAAGGGUUUCUGCAUGGGAGGCGGCCGCAGGUGGAGCGGUGCUCCCCCGGUGGCGCGGGCAGAGAGCCGCGA